UGAAACUUUCCUCAAACAGCACAUGUGUCAUUUAAUGUGUUUGUGCUGAUCCACGCCUCCUAACCAAACCUGUAGUGACACGUGCCUCGCAAUGACAGAUAACAUCAUUUGAGAGCGCUGUUUGUCUUCACAUGGCCUCCCCAAGGCAAACACCACAGAUGUACUGAGACAACAGCACUCCGACUCUGCUGCUUGUUUACUCCAGACAGGGAAGUUUGUCACUUUUACUCCAAAGGCUAUCGCUCAUUUCCAGUGUCCAGGAAAGCUCCUCUGAUGGUCAACAUGGUGUUUCCGGACUUUGGACCAAAUGUAGGAAAGAUGUCACUGAUCACAGGAUCCUGGAUGCAAAGCAGAUGCAGACAUGGUUCAGUACAGCUUACCUUGUUACCUGUGGCCACUAUCACUGCUCCCUUUGAGUGGGCCGUACCCGGCAGGGCUACACUGGCAGAGACCGGUCUGGAGUC